GACGAACGCUGGCGGCGUGCUUAACACAUGCAAGUCGAACGGAAAGGCCUCUUUCGGGGGGUACUCGAGUGGCGAACGGGUGAGUAACACGUGAGUAACCUGCCCUUGACUUUGGGAUAACUUCAGGAAACUGGGGCUAAUACCGGAUAGGAGCUCCUGCUGCAUGGUGGGGGUUGGAAAGUUUCGGCGGUUGGGGAUGGACUCGCGGCUUAUCAGCUUGUUGGUGGGGUAGUGGCUUACCAAGGCUUUGACGGGUAGCCGGCCUGAGAGGGUGACCGGCCACAUUGGGACUGAGAUACGGCCCAGACUCCUACGGGAGGCAGCAGUGGGGAAUAUUGCACAAGGGGUGGAAGCCUGAUGCAGCAACGCCGGGUGCGGGAUGACGGCCUUCGGGUUGUAAACCGCUUUCGCUCAUGACGAAGCUUUGUGUGACGGUAGUGGGUAAAGAAGCACCGGCUAACUACGUG
rnacentral:rRNA from 1 species